AUACAGCCCUACCGCCGCCACCUCCCCAGCAGUGGGACUUCAGGUUGCUUACCCCAGGUCUGGCUCAUUAAGCUCCUUUGCAGUCAUGGGCUCCACUUCUCUUGCUUUCUAGACAAGAAAACUGAGACCCCGGAGGUGAACUAAAGAUGGGGACAAGUGUGGACAGCAAGGUCCCCGCUGUCCUGGCUGAGUGGUUUUACCAGUUCCUGCCGUACCAGCAAGAUGAACAAAGGAGAGGGGUGUGAUGAUGUGAGCCUCUAAUGCCAGCACUCAAGGCCGCAGCCAUUCCAGACUGCCAGGAUCCAGCUUCAAAAACAAGAACACCUGCCAGACCAAAAGGAAAAAAACAGACGAAAUUUUGUGAUUUACAUUAACCAUUAUUUAAAAAUUAAUUUAAUUAACCAAUAUCAGAAGUGCCUUUCUUAAAUGAACUAUAUAGUUUUCUGACUUAUAAAAUGGUCAUAUCGACCAUAACUUCAUUAACUUUGAAGUAAUGUGCAGUCGUAAUUAGAGACGUUCAGAUAGCUAGACUCAAAAACUCAGGUGGGAAGCCAAGCUCAGUCAGAUAGGAGCUGGGGGACAGCUCAGCAGGAGAGGGUGUGCUUUGCUGGCUCAAGGCCCUGGUUCUGUAGCACCAACAAACAAAAACAACCCAAUAAAAGUGCAAAAGAGGAACACUUAGCCACUGCUGGUGGGAAUACAAAAUGGCCCCAAACAGUGGAAGUUCCUGUCAUGACUAAACGUGGAGUCAGUCACCAUAUGACCAAACAACACCUCCAGGUAUAUGCCUGAAAGGACUGAAAACCUAGACACACCAAC